rnacentral:lncRNA from 1 species
UACUGAUGAUCAAAUGAAUGAUCCUGAACACCUACCUACGUCAGACAUAACCCCACCGUGUCCUCGAUCGGAGAAGGAACUCUCGAAAGAGACAGUCACGGUUACGCACACAGUUGGCGAGUUUUAAUUAAGUUAACUUCAAGUUACCUAGAACCAGUGUUAAACAAAGUUUCCACGUUGCCACAUAACCGCGGGCACGGCUUUCCGAAAAUAUUUAACCCUGCAGGGGUGCUC